AAUUUACUUUUUUUGUUAUAAUAAAAAUGGUAUGUAGGAAUUUCGGACGCGGGUUCAACUCCCGCCAGCUCCACCA
rnacentral:tRNA from 1 species